rnacentral:rRNA from 1 species
GAUGAACGCUGGCGGCGUGCCUAAUACAUGCAAGUCGAGCGAACGGACGAGAAGCUUGCUUCUCUGAUGUUAGCGGCGGACGGGUGAGUAACACGUGGAUAACCUACCUAUAAGACUGGGAUAACUUCGGGAAACCGGAGCUAAUACCGGAUAAUAUUUUGAACCGCAUGGUUCAAAAGUGAAAGACGGUCUUGCUGUCACUUAUAGAUGGAUCCGCGCUGCAUUAGCUAGUUGGUAAGGUAACGGCUUACCAAGGCAACGAUGCAUAGCCGACCUGAGAGGGUGGACCGCCACACUGGGACUGAGACCCGGUCCCGGCUCCUAAGGGAGGCAGCAGUAGGGAAUCUUCCGCAAUGGGCGAAAGCCUGACGGAGCAACGCCGCGUGAGUGAUGAAGGUCUUCGGAUCGUAAAACUCUGUUAUUAGGGAAGAACAUAUGUGUAAGUAACUGUGCACAUCUUGACGGUACCUAAUCAGAAAGCCACGGCUAACUACGUG